ensembl:misc_RNA 7SK 7SK RNA
GGAUGUGAGGGCGAUCUGGCUGCGACAUCUGUCACCCCAUUGAUCGCCAGGGUUGAUUAGGCUAAUCUGGCUGGCUAGGUGGGUGUCCCCUUCCUCCCUCACCAUUCCAUGUGCGUCCCUCCCAAAGCUGUGCGCUCGGUCGGAGAGGAUGACUAUCCCCACUAGAGGAGGACAGGUGUUUGGUCAAGGGUAUACAAGUAGCUGCGCUCCUCUCCUAGACCCUCCAAACAAGCUCUCAAAUAUCAAUGACUUACUGGGGUCUGAAUUGUUUCACACCUAAUCAACUAGAAAAUUUUUAAGGGUAAUCUAAUUU